rnacentral:rRNA from 1 species
AACGCUGGCGGCGUGCCUAAUACAUGCAAGUCGAACGCACUUUCGUUGAAUGAAUUAGAGGUGCUUGCACCGAAGAUGAUUUUAGCUAUAAAGUGAGUGGCGAACGGGUGAGUAACACGUGGGUAACCUGCCCAGAAGUGGGGGAUAACACCUGGAAACAGAUGCUAAUACCGCAUAACAAAGUAAACCGCAUGGUUUACUUUUAAAAGAUGGCUUCGGCUAUCACUUCUGGAUGGACCCGCGGCGUAUUAGCUAGUUGGUGAGAUAAAGGCUCACCAAGGCAGUGAUACGUAGCCGACCUGAGAGGGUAAUCGGCCACAUUGGGACUGAGACACGGCCCAGACUCCUACGGGAGGCAGCAGUAGGGAAUCUUCCACAAUGGACGAAAGUCUGAUGGAGCAACGCCGCGUGAGUGAUGAAGGCUUUAGGGUCGUAAAACUCUGUUGUUGGAGAAGAACGUGUGUGAGAGUAACUGCUCAUGCAGUGACGGUAUCCAACCAGAAAGCCACGGCUAACUA